rnacentral:lncRNA from 1 species
AUGCAGCCCAGGCCUGGUGUGGGACGCACCCUCGCCGCGCCCAAGCUGUCCCCGCCCCUCUCCCGGGACUGCCCUGGCUUUGAUCAGUCAAACGCCAGGAAUGGAGGCAGCGGGAGCGAGCCCGUGACCCGGCAGUGCCCAGCGCGGGAGCGCGCCCGGGACCCCAGUGUGCCCCAGCGCGGGAGCGCGCCCGGGACCCCAGUGUGCCCCAGCGCGGGAGCGCGCCCGGGACCCGGCAGUGCCCGUGUCCGCAGCCCUUUGUGGUUUCCGGCAGUGGCCGGGGCAGCGCUGAGUCACAGGGAAGCAGCGCCAGCAGGAGGCAGCUGGGCAGCAAUGCCGGCUGCAGCCCCUCGCCAUGUCCCUCCCACGGGGCGGGGGGCUCCUGCCCACCACCCACAGCUUCAGUGCCGGUUCUUCAUCCCGGCAGAGCAGGUGUGGGGCUCUGGCCCAGCCCCCUCAGCCUGGAACCGCCACCUGUCGUUCGCUGGGUGGUCACCUGCGCCAUCCUGUGACACUGGCCAGCGUGUCCGCAGAGUCUUCUGCAGCCCUGCCCCUCUUCCACAGCACCCCCCCCGAAUUCCCCCUCCGGGGAUGAGGGAGGCGAGCGUGGCUCUGAGAGCCUCCAGCAGAGAAGCCGGUUCCAAGUUCCCGUCAACAGCACUUGGCAGGCAGCUCAGCCCCGCCCCGAGGCCUCAUUAGGCAAAACACAGCACCUCGGCGCGCAGCGGGAGGCUUGCCGGGGCUGGCGCUCCCGGCAGAUCAGAGCAGCCGCCCAGCCGGCCCACGUGCGCUGUCACAGCCACACGGCACUGUGGUCACAGACCCAGGGUUCGGGCCCUCGCCCGGCCUGUAGCAGCGCCACCUCUCUGUCCACACACAAAAGGGAGGUGGGGGUCUUCCUCUGGGGUCGUGAGGAGCGCCCAGGAGGUGCCUGGCUCACAGCUGGGCUAGGCAGGGGCAGGGCUGCUGACCCCAGGCCGAGUGGGCAGGGGUGCGGCUGCAGCUCCCGGAACUCUGCCCUGGGAGUCCAGAGCCAUGGCGGCCGGAAGGAAGCAGGGCACUGCUUGAUUCUCUUUUAAUUUUGCUUUAUUUACUUGAGAGGCAGAGAGACAAAGAGUGCCUCUCCGCUGGUUCACUACGCAGCUGCACACAGCGGCUGGGGCUGGGCCAGGAGCUCCAUCCCCGUGUCCCACAGGGCGGACAGAGACCUAAGUACUUGAACCACGCAUCCGCGUAGGGGCCCCAGAGGAAGCUCCUGGCUUCCAAUCAGCCGAGCUCCUGCUGUUGCGACCAUUUGGGGAGUGAACCAGCAGAUGGAAGAACAGUCUGUCUCUCCCUCGUCUGUAACUCUCUCUCUCUCAAAUAAAUCCAUAAAUCUUUAAUAAGCA